UGCAGUCGAACGAUGAAAUCACUUCGGUGGUGGAUUAGUGGCGAACGGGUGAGUAACACGUGGGCAAUCUGCCCUUCACUCUGGGACAAGCCCUGGAAACGGGGUCUAAUACCGGAUACCACCCUGUCCCGCAUGGGACGGGGUUGAAAGCUCCGGCGGUGAAGGAUGAGCCCGCGGCCUAUCAGCUUGUUGGUGGGGUAAUGGCCUACCAAGGCGACGACGGGUAGCCGGCCUGAGAGGGCGACCGGCCACACUGGGACUGAGACACGGCCCAGACUCCUACGGGAGGCAGCAGUGGGGAAUAUUGCACAAUGGGCGAAAGCCUGAUGCAGCGACGCCGCGUGAGGGAUGACGGCCUUCGGGUUGUAAACCUCUUUCAGCAGGGAAGAAGCGCAAGUGACGGUACCUGCAGAAGAAGCGCCGGCUAACUACGUGCCAGCAGCCGCGGUAAUACGUAGGGCGCAAGCGUUGUCCGGAAUUAUUGGGCGUAAAGAGCUCGUAGGCGGCUUGUCACGUCGGAUGUGAAAGCCCGGGGCUUAACCCCGGGUCUGCAUUCGAUACGGGCUAGCUAGAGUGUGGUAGGGGAGAUCGGAAUUCCUGGUGUAGCGGUGAAAUGCGCAGAUAUCAGGAGGAACACCGGUGGCGAAGGCGGAUCUCUGGGCCAUUACUGACGCUGAGGAGCGAAAGCGUGGGGAGCGAACAGGAUUAGAUACCCUGGUAGUCCACGCCGUAAACGUUGGGAACUAGGUGUUGGCGACAUUCCACGUCGUCGGUGCC
rnacentral:rRNA from 1 species